CUCAUCUCACACUGUUCCCACUUUGCGAAGCAGGCUAACCCAAGUCUGCUGACCAAAAGGGAUGGUGGCCUUAGACAGGAUAUUCCUCAUCAUGGGGGUCUCAGCCCCAAUGAGGAUGAUAUCUUUAGGUUAAUGGGUCACUGAGAGUUCCAAGG